rnacentral:rRNA from 1 species
GACGAGGGACCCUAGCGUUGUUCGGAAUCAUUGGGCGUAAAGCGGGUGUAGGUGGCUUUGUAAGUCAGGUGUGAAAUCCCUGGGCUCAACCCAGGACGUGCAUUUGAUACUGCGAAGCUUGAGUGCCGGAGAGGUUACUGGAAUACCUGGUGUAGUGGUGAAAUACGUAGAUAUCAGGUGGAACACCGGAGGCGAAGGCGGGUAACUGGCCGGACACUGACACUCAGACCCGAAAGCGUGGGGAUCAAACAGG